UUGCUCUUGCGGGAGACUGCAGCUCAGCGUGGAAAGCCACCCUGGGGAACACGCAAAACUGAUCAGGUCAGAUGGACGAUCCUCACCUGAGACCUUGAAAUCGAGCCUGCUGCUCAUCCCUGGCACGGAGCCGCUGAUUUGGGCAGUCAGGCACUUUCCAGACAGAACCCACAGAGGCUGUGCCUGCCUGUGUGAGCCACCGGAACUAGCAUGAAAAGACACUUCCGGUACCACUCCUGCAUUCCUAGGCCAAGUUUGCAUGUCAACAGGGACAAAACACAGAGUGGAUGGUUGCGAGCCACCAUGUGGCUGCUGGGAAUUGAACUCAGGACCUCUGGAAGCGCAGUCGGUGCUCUUAACCACAGAGCCAUCUCUCCAGCCCUAGCAAUGCUCUUUCAUUGCCCUCAUUUAUGUGUGUGGAGAGCACAUAGAAUGGCCAGCUUGUGGAGAUCAGAGGACUGCGUACAGAAGCCCAGUUCUCUCCUCCCACCAUGUGGAUCCCAGGGGUUGAAGCUGGGUUGUCAGGCUCGGUGCCUGCUCUGUGCAGAAAGGGUUCAGUGAGAACGGUC
rnacentral:lncRNA from 1 species